UACUGGAGAUUGAACUCAGGGCUUCACGCUUGCUAAGUAGGCACUCUACCGUGUGAACUAUACUGCCAGCCCUUUGAUUGGGUUAUUGGAAAGACAGAUUAAAUAAUAGAUGUGCAUGUGCAAACAGAUGCUCUCGCCUGCUCAGUGUACGAAUAUCUGCAUCACAGUGUGAAGUACAGAGCAAUAAUAGGCAGAAGCUCAUCGUUUGUUAGGUGUUCCUUCUGUUAAAUUGCUUGGGAGGUCAGUGCACACCUUGUCUGGGGCCCGAUGGGCUGAGCAGUGGGAAUGUCUGUGCAGCCACUCCAUCCACAGAGAACCCACUCUGCACAAGGCACCAUGUGGAAACAUCGAGAACUCCUUUUCUAUGGCACUAUGGAUAAGCAGAAGGAGGGGUCGCAAUGCAAGCAGGCCGGAGCUGUGGCCAUGGCCUUGACUGGAGUUUGCCCACCAGGAGAAGAUGAAGACACAGAGACUUGGUUAAGGGAAAGCGCAGUGAUGCUGGGCUUCCUGCUGUCUCUGCAAGCAGAGGGACUUGGAGAUCACACAGCAGAAGCAAAAGAAGGACCCAAGUGGCUUUGUGGCUUUGCAUCCAACCCUCUGGUCUGGAUCCAGUCCCAUCAUGCCUACGUUUCUGCCUGGAGUGCUCACGGUUCCCAGCACGAUGGCAUUCCCUUUGCCUGGGUCCCCUUUGUGCCUCUCUCCCCAAGGGCCACUCCUGAGGGUGAAGGCAUUGCCCCUUUCCAGUGUUUUUUAUUCUUGCAGAGCACACCCCAAAGUAUUAAAAAGUAGCUUUGUAAUCCCUUGGGAAAGAAAAAAAGAACUACAGAUAUUUUGAUAUGGUCAUAAUAUGAAUAUACAUAAUUAAUUUGGAUAAUUUCCCCAGUUCUACCAUUAUAUGUAAAAUACCUCAUUACCAGCUAGGGCUUUGGGUGGAGAUCAAUGGUCACCUAUGCCAAUUAUCCAUUAUCCUCUUUUCCUUGGAGAGAACCUCUAACUUUUAACUUUUAAUCAUAUGGCCUGCUUAGCAAUAAAGAUUAAGACUGAGGGAUGGCUCA
rnacentral:lncRNA from 1 species